rnacentral:lncRNA from 1 species
UAAAAUAUAGGGUAUAAAAUAAAAUAAUCCUAGAAAAAUAAUUAAAAUGGCCUUAUCACAACCCAAAACCAAAUAACAAUAUUAAUAAGGUAAAACUUAUAAAGAAAUAAAUCGGCUACUUAUUGCAAUUAAAAGAAACAAAAACAGUAGUGUGGCCAUCUUCGAGUCCCUCGCAACUCCAAACCAUCUAAGCUUAGGGAUUACCUACACAGUUAGAAACAGGGUGAGUUUAUGAAAACUCAAUGUGUAAUCCCAAUAACAUACAAACAGUGAAAACACAGUAUCAGUACAAUCUGGGCCAAAGCCCUAUUUAGUCUUGACAUAUACUGGGCCGAAGCCUUUUGUUUAACGGUUACUGGGCCGAAGCCUUUUCAUAAAUUAUAUCAUUGGGCCAAAGCCUUUACUAUAAACGGUAUGGCCCUUAGGCCCAUUUCAAUAUCACAUGUAAUGUCAAUGGAUGUAUGCAAGCCCAUUUCAAUAUCACAUGAAAUACCAAUGAAUGUAUGCAAGCCCAUUUAGGGAGACUACUCGACCCACCAUCCGCUACUCUCCACCCGUACCAACCAACACACCAUGUGGGGAAUGAUUCAACCCACCCAACCAACACACCACUGGCAGCAUAGCUGCUUUAUCAUAUAUCUGGAGGCCUAGCCUCUUUUAAUAACUGGGGCAAAGCCCUUUUCGGUAAACUGGGGCAAAGCCCUUUUCAAUAAACUGGGGCAUAAGCCCUUUUCGGUAAACUGGGCAUAAGCCUUUUCAAUAAACUGGGGCAUAAGCCCUUUUGCACUUCCUCCAUCCAUAUAAAAACCAACCCAAUGCAUUUAUGAAUACAUCAUGUGGAUUUCAUACAUAUCAUGUGCAUUUCAUACAUAUCAUGUGCAUUUCAUACAUAUCAUGUGCAUUUUAUACAUAUCAUGUGCAUAUCAUAUCAAUCAUGUAUAUCAUAUCCCGCGUAUCAAAUUUAUAAUUAAACCCUAGGGGUAUAAUGGUCAUUUUUACCUAGGGGCAAAACAUUCAUUUUCAUACUGUAAGGGUAAUUUCAUAAUUUUACCAAAUAUCAGGGUUUUCCAUGUUCAUCAACAAUUAUCAAUAUUUCCGAGUGUUUAAACAAUGAUCUUUAACCCAUUUUAUCAAACUCGGGCUUUUGGGCCCAAAACCCCUAAUGGGCCCUACGAAUGCUGAUUUAGCCCACUAAGCCUGUUUAAUCCAAAUUUUACAACAGUACUAACCGUGUUAACAUGCAACUUUUCCAGAUUCCAUUUUCUAACAAUUUUACCCAAAUGGGCCCGAAAGCCCAUUGGGCCCAAUUCUAGCCCAUUGAGGCCCAAUUUACCAUCGUGCACAAAAUUGUGCUCUUACCUGUUCCAUCGAUCCAACCACUGAUCAUAUCGUAUCUAUCACACUUUAAGCAAAGGAAAAAUCACAAGUUCCCGAAAUACUAGUAUUUUAGCAUUUCGGCUUCUCAGCAAAUAUUAAUCUAAGCUAUUACGAGGGUUAGUACACACCUAUUACGGGUUGAAGUUGAAACGUUUCCAAAAUCAAUCGCCUACGAUAACCACCACCUGUCACUCAAACUUAACUAAUCCAAUAUCAAUAUAUGUAAAUCCUAAGCACAUCAGUCAUACGAAACAUAAGGGCAUAUUCGUCAUUUUACCAUACAGGGGUAUUACGGUCACUUUAACCUACAGGGGCUUUACGGUCACUUUACCCUACAGGGGCUUUACGGUCUUUUUACCUAAUAGGGGUAUUUUAAUCAUUUCAUCCUACAAGGGUGUUUUGGUAAAUCUACAAACUAAGGGUAUUUCAGUAAUUUUGUAAACCAAUGGUAUUUCCAUAAUUUUUAGAAAGUCAAGGGUAUUUCUGUAACUUUGUAAAUCAGGGGUAUUUUGGUAAUUUUACAAAUUGAGGGUAUUUCGAUAAUUUCACAAACUAGUGGUAUUUUGGUAAUUUUACAAACUAGGGGUAUUUUGGUAAUUUUACAAAUUGAGGGUAUUUCGAUAAUUUUACAAACCAGGGGUAUUUUAGCAAUUUUACAAACUAGGGUAUUUUGGUAAUUUUACUGAUCGAGGGUAUUUUGGAAAUUUUGUAAACCAAGGGUAUUUUAGUAAUUUUAUAAAUCGAGGGUAAAACAGUAAUUUUUUAAGUCAAGGGUAAAACAGUAAUUUUGUAAAUCGAGGGUAAAACGGUAAUUCUAUAAAUCGAGAAUAAAACGGUAAUUCUAUAAAUCGAGGGUACUUUGGUAAUUUUACAAUUUGAGGGCAUUUCAGUAAUUUGGUAAACUAAAGUAUUCUAAACAUGGAUAACAAUACGAAUGGGCCUAAAGCCUAUUCUCGGCCCAAAUGGGCCCACACGCUCGUGUGGCCCUUUUAGCCCAAAUCUAGCCACAGAUAUGAGAUUCACCUAGCCUAGUCUAAUAUUUACUACACAAUCAAACAACUUAUCCAAUUGGGCCCGUAGGCCCAUUAGGCCCACAUGACCCCUUUUUCGGCCCAUCGCGGCCCGAAGUAGCCAUCCUACAGCUAGAGUAGUGAGAAAAUACACACCUGAUAGGAGACUGGAGUUAAUCCAUGCUCCGAACACUCUUAGCCGACGCCCAACCCAAAUGAGCACGCCAUACAGCGAAAGGGAUCAG